rnacentral:rRNA from 1 species
UACGAAGGUCCCGAGCGUUGUUCGGAAUCACUGGGCGUAAAGCGUCCGCAGGUGGCAGUUCAAGUCUGCUGUCAAAGACCGGGGCUCAACCUCGGAAAGGCAGUGGAAACUGAACAGCUAGAGUAUGGUAGGGGCAGAGGGAAUUCCUGGUGUAGCGGUGAAAUGCGUAGAGAUCAGGAAGAACAUCGGUGGCGAAGGCGCUCUGCUGGACCAUAACUGACACUCAGGGACGAAAGCUAGGGGAGCGAAUGGG